rnacentral:misc_RNA from 1 species
GAGAGAGAGAGAGAGAGAGAGUAUAGAGUAAGUAGCAAAUAGAUAGCAUUCAUAAAUGAAGGAGCUCAGAAUUCCUCAAGCUCAGCAAAAUAAUUAGAAACAAAUCAUGUAACCCACCCCCCACUAUCAUCUUUUGUGUUCAUACUUGACAUUUUUAUAUAGAUACAAACAAGAACAUAAAGAACAAGCCAAAGGAAAGUGAUGCCCUCCAAUCAAGUAAAAUAACACUUGAAGAAACUUCCCUAAAAGCUCUGUAAGCGCAAACCCAUAUGGAAGCCCAACAAAAAAGAAAAGGCACCAAAUCCCACAACAAAUUGAAAUAAAGAUGGGUGCAGUUUUCUAUUGAACAUGCAAAACAAACACAAAUAAGAAUAACACUCGCAUAAAAAGUUAAAAACACAAGAAACUUAACGUGUUUCAGCAAUGUGGCCAUGUCUGCAGAAAGCCAUCAAUGUUUUUCCACUAUGAAAGAUAAAUGUAUAAGUAGGGAUAGAGAAAGUUGAUAUUACAGAAAUAUCCCCAUAAUUAGAACCACCCUAGGCUAACUAAGUUGUACCAAUGGACCUGACUACAAAAUUGGAUAUUCUUCACCGUGGUGUGGGAUAUGCUAGAAAGGCCACAGCCUCCUCUGUAAAACCCUCCACCGAAUCUGCCUUGAGCUUUUAGCUUGCAGUAUUUCCUUUGAAAAAUAUGAGAUGAACUUAACAUUUUCUCCAUAAAAGAUUCAAUUAAAAAAAGAAAAAGCACACAAAUCCACCAACUUUGACAUCUUUCCCACCACCAAAUCCUGCACAUUCUAAACUAAUUGAAAUCUCUAAGCUUGUUUAAUUGGUUUUCCAGUGAUAAAAUCCCACAAAUACAACUCUUGAAUUGCAUGAUGCAAUUCUAAACUUAAUUUAACCUUAGUGGGAGGCUUUCUCGAUUGGACUAGUGUGAGGCAACUAGUUUUAUUGUGUUGGCUUUGUUUUCCUAUGCAGUUAUGAAGGUAAUCAGAUCUGCUUGUUAAUUUCGAACCCUAGUUUCUUUAAUUGCAUGAAAACCUAGCCCUGAUUUCCAAACAAACAGGAUUCUCAAAUGGCAUCCAACACCAAUUUUUGUUCUCAGAGCUCCUAAUUUUGCAAUUAUUUUCACAAUAUGGAAAUUUUUUAAGAAGCAUUGAAACACUUCAUAAAGAGAUAUUUUAUCAAAGAACAAAGUGAUUUCAAUGAGCUUUAUGCUAUGGGACAAGCUUAAUCAAUUUGUAAUUGAUUACACUAGAAAUUAUAUAGAGCUUACAAGUGUUUUGUUAAAGAAGAUAGAAAGCUCACUAUUUCUCAAUUCAAAGUAGGUUGAGACCAGAAAUUCAAAAUCAAUGGUCAAAUGCAAGACUACAUGCCCUUGAAGAUGCAACAGAACAAGCUAUUGUUCUUGAGAAAUGUUUGAGAUUCAUGGGCCAUCUCCUAAAUUCUAGACUAUAAUUGCAAAAAGAAAGAAGCAAUGCAAUCAGUAGAGGGAGAAAAAAAA